ensembl:lncRNA
GUAAGGUUAUUGCAUGCAGUAAAUGUCGACCAAUCGCCUCUACCUGCUUGAAGUUGGGCCUUCUCUUAACGAUGGGCAAGUCGAGGUCCAGCCGGGCAAGUCCAUCCCAGCCCCCCCUCCUCCUCCCGCCCCCUGUCACCGGUCAAUGACGUCAUUCAUCAAAACCACUGAAUGCUGGGCUUAGCGCCACUGAAAUGGGACCUGAUUGUUUGUUAAAGAUGAAGCCAAACGUGCUGCUGAUUUACAAGCUCCUCGAAUUGGAAAAUGGCCGAAAAACACUUGACCGAGGACUUCGCAGCUUCACUAACCGGGCCAAUGAAGAGGUUCAACGUUUCCUGAACGGGUCCCUUUCGACCUAUCAGUACGAUGAACUAUCGACGAUCUUGGACGCCAAGUGCCGAACUUUAAACAAUCUCCUCACUACAUUACAACACGCCACAAGUGAUCAACAAUUCUGUGCCGAGGCCCCUGCAGACAACGGAGACAUAACAAACCAGCUAUAUCUAUUUCCAGACAAAGUCGUUUUGACAACAGAUGUUCUUAAGUUUGGUCCCAUUUUAAGCAAUGUCCUUUUGGCGAGCUCCAUAACCAAGGCGAUCCAGGUGCUUGGAGCAACGCUCUCUUUUCAAUGUCUAAAGCAGCUCCUAGACCCUAAAGCUGUCAACGAUGACGUGUUCGAUAGCAUCCAGCCCAGCCAAAACACUGAUGCUGGACCUGCCGAUCACUCUUCUGAUUUUAAAAUUGAAGGCAAUGAGCUUGUUGUGUUCAAGGAGAAACCCCAAGUGAGGGUAGUGGUUGAACCUCCUCUAAUUAUCAUGUGUCAAAAGGGUUCCCUAGAGAUACUUCCAACAAAACCAGUGUCCCAGAAAACCAGCGAUCCUCAACCAACAAAUAUUCUUAUGAACGCACAGUUCCCCUUCUGGGAACUUGAACACGAAGUCCCGAUACAACACAAGAAACAAACAUCUGAACAGCUAUUGACCUUCCUGCGGACGCACAAGGAAAGUGCCAGCGCGAAGCGGGACAAUUUGGCCUGGUUCAGACGCUAUUUCCAUCCUCCGUCAACAACACCUUCAAAGAUAACAAAACAGAGUAGCUUUAAAGAUGGUGGAAGUAGAAGUAUGACCGACAACACCAGGUGCAUCGAAUCCCCGCCAAAGGAGACGGCGUUGGCUGAAGAGGACUCCCGACCUCCCGUGUUCAGGUUGAAGCGCGUGGAGCCUGGAGGAGUUAUUAUCUACUCCUGCAUGGUCCUCACCGAGACGGAACUGUGGGACAUGGGAGAAGUGGUCACACCACUCGGACCCGUUGAACAAGUGGAAACCCAGGACGGACAGCAAAACAAAGGGGUGGACAACAGUCACCGUGAGGUCUCUGCUGCUGAGGAACCGGGGGAGAAACCACAGAGUCCCCUGUGUACAAACACCACAUGCGGUUUUACCCCAGCCGAGUCGCCACUCCCGAACAGUACCGCCAGCAUCCCCGAGUUUGUGAUCGUUGCGUUCAAGGAGAUGGAGGUUGUGGUUUCCCAUGUGGUGUCCCCUGGACACUUCUACAUCCAGCGUCCAGACGUGUUGGCCAAGCAGCAGGCCCUGGUCAGCGGCUGGAAAGGCCGCUCGUUUGCGGAGGAAAACAGCGUGCCAGACAUCGGGACCCUGGUAAUGGCUUUCUUCUCGGAGCAGAAGCAGUGGUGCAGGGCCCAAGUCCUGAGGAUAUGUGGCGUUGGUGGAGACGAUCAGCCCGGUGAGGGCACCGGUGGCAGUGGGACCAACAUCAGCGUACAGGUGUUCCGGCUGGACCACGGAGACAAGGCCACCGUCUCCUUGCGCAACGUGGGCCCCCUGACACCGGACAUGGCGGCCCUGCCCCUGCAGGCCGCAAUGGUCUCGCUGGCCGAUGUGUCCGCGCUGGACGGGGUCCACUGGACGGAGGAGGCGGUGUCCUGGUUCAGAGCCAUGGUGGAGCACCGCACGCUGUACGCCCGGCUGUUCCCCCUCCGGUCGGCCGUCACCGUGCAUCUCUUCCUGGAGAGGGGCGCCAUGGGCGCCAUGAGGAGAGGAGCAUCGCUCUCUUUGAGGUUAGCACAGAAUGGACAUGCGAAACUCAACCAAAUGAAAGCCUUUGCCGCAGUCAAAAGAGGCAAUUUUCUCAUUCUGAAGAAAAGGCAGGAGGCUGACUGGCAGAAAUACCUAAUUGCAUGCUACACAGAAAAAGUUCUGAAAAAAACUUUGUUGGGAGUUGAAGGCCAACCGACGCCCCCCCUGUGCCAGUUUAUCCAAAGUGACGCAGAACGCUUGUUGCCCUGUGAGCUACUGCAGAUCAUCUGAUAGCGAACAACAAGCCCAUGCUUUGUAUGUCUGUGAUGCUUGGGCCUCUCUGCCGGUGCUGUAUUGCUGUGUUCACCGAUGUACGAUAUGAGCAUACGCAUCUAUACAAGACGACAGCUGCUGCCACCACUGUCAGAUCUUACUUGUGAUGACACCAUAACAAACAAUAACAUCUGUCCGACCAUGUGGCCUUGUAAAAGCUGCCCUGUUGUGAUGUAAAAAUUAGCAUAUUUCUCAAUAUUAAUCUAUUGGAUAAAUGUGUCAUAUCAGUCACCCGUACUACCGGCCUAAGUAUGCUUUAAAGAAAUUGUAAAGUGUGAAUUACAAAAUAAAAAUAACUCAAAAAAAAUGUUUUUA